rnacentral:rRNA from 1 species
UACGUAGGGUGCAAGCGUUGUCCGGAAUUAUUGGGCGUAAAGAGUUCGUAGGCGGUCAGGAAAGUGGGGUGUGAAAGCCCUCGGCUUAACCGAGGAAUUGCGCUCCAAACUCCCUGACUUGAGGAGGCUAGAGGUAAGCGGAACUGAUGGUGGAGCGGUGAAAUGCGUUGAUAUCAUCAGGAACACCGGAGGCGAAGGCGGCUUACUGGGGCCUUUCUGACGCUGAGGAACGAAAGCUAGGGGAGCGAACAGG